ACUCCUACGGGAGGCAGCAGUAGGGAAUCUUCCACAAUGGGCGCAAGCCUGAUGGAGCAACACCGCGUGAGUGAAGAAGGGUUUCGGCUCGUAAAGCUCUGUUGUUAAAGAAGAACACGUAUGAGAGUAACUGUUCAUACGUUGACGGUAUUUAACCAGAAAGUCACGGCUAACUACGUGCCAGCAGCCGCGGUAAUACGUAGGUGGCAAGCGUUAUCCGGAUUUAUUGGGCGUAAAGAGAGUGCAGGCGGUUUUCUAAGUCUGAUGUGAAAGCCUUCGGCUUAACCGGAGAAGUGCAUCGGAAACUGGAUAACUUGAGUGCAGAAGAGGGUAGUGGAACUCCAUGUGUAGCGGUGGAAUGCGUAGAUAUAUGGAAGAACACCAGUGGCGAAGGCGGCUACCUGGUCUGCAACUGACGCUGAGACUCGAAAGCAUGGGUAGCGAACAGGAUUAG
rnacentral:rRNA from 1 species